rnacentral:rRNA from 1 species
ACUUACGGCAACACCGGCCUGAGUACGCCUGAUCUCGUCCGAUCUCGGAAGCUAAGCAGGGUCGGGCCUGGUUAGUACUUGGAUGGGAGACAGCCUGGCGAUACCAGGUGCUGUAAGCU